rnacentral:lncRNA from 1 species
GCCGAGCGCUGACCCACGCCCAGCGCAGUUUCUCUCCGGGCUUAGGAAUUACCUGGGAGCCGCGAGGGUGGCGUUAUUGCCCCGGGAAGGAGCAGUGUGUCCACAGGGGAAGUGAGGGGCAGUGGUCACGGAGUAGUCUGCGGACUUGGUUGGCUGGUUUGUUUCUUUGUGCUGAAUGACAGCCUGCAAAGGAGUGGUUGGAAAUUAAGUCGCACGUGGGCAAUGAGAGCAGGUUUGGGACUUUGUGUGAAGAUGUUCAUAAACCAUGUAAAUGCAUGUCUCCUCCCCUCCCCAGAACCUGCAAACGACAGCAAGUUUAGGUGUCUAAAUCACAACGUCACAGAGGACGGGCGGUAACUGACAGCCGACCAGAGAUGCCUUGGAAUCUCAGAGAGAAGGAAGAGGGCUGCCUGGGUCGGCAGAGCCUGAGCCCGGACCAGUUCCAUGAAAGUCUCUGGGGUAGCGCCCAGGGAACUGUUAAUGACCCCUCAUGGUGAGUCCAUUAUGCAGCCAUGUUCGAGAACACCCUCCUGGAAUACCCACGUGGGGCUCAGCAGAGGCUGGAGCUGUCUGCCUAUAGGACUGGGGGACGCUCUGAGCUCAGAGAGGCCACGGAGGAAUGGGAGGGCUUCUUGGGGCUGACACAGGGGCGAUGCUAGAGGUCUGUCCAUGAAGCAGCUCCCAGACCACCGUCCAGUGGCAGGCACGGAGUGUCCUGGAGCCGGGCACUGCCUUUUCAGCCGUCAACAGAGGAGCACUCUUCUAAAAAAUCCCAAAAUACCCUACAGAGAAAUCGGGCGGCUCGUGUGCUCACCGGAGCCUUGGGGAAGCCUCCUCAUUCUGCCGCAGACGGCUUCCGGCAUGACAGCCAGCUCCCUGCCCCGCCCUACGUGGAGCCUGAUUGCCCACAUGGCUGCUGGGCUCUUCCUGAAAUGUAAGCGGAAAACCGAGGUCACCACACAGGAAAAAACCCACUUCGGUGUACUAGAAUGUCCCUGGCUCGCUGGUCAGACGGUCACGUGUGGGUGAACUGCCCCUUGAGGGCCCUGCCCCUCCCUGGGUCAAGUCCAGAGUCCUGCUGUCUGGGAGCGUGGAUGUCAUGGCGCCGGGCAGGCUGAGCUGUUGGAGGAGAUGCCCUCCCAACACUCACAGAUUGAGGACAGCACAUGGAAGAUGAGGAACAAGGGAACGAUGGAGCUGGCCCUACUCUGGCGCCUGGCAGACUUCUUCAUCUGCAUAUUCAUGAGGCCGCGCCGAUGACCCGAUGAUGACCCGAAUAAAUCGGACCAGAAGCUCGGCA